rnacentral:rRNA from 1 species
GACGAACGCUGGCGGCGUGCCUAAUACAUGCAAGUAGAACAGUUGCGAACGGGUGAGUAACGCGUAGGAACCUGCCUCAUAGCGGGGGAUAACUAUUGGAAACGAUAGCUAAUACCGCAUACUGUGAGAUGUACCUGCGUUGUAUUAGCUAGUUGGUGAGGUAAAGGCUCACCAAGGCGACGAUCCCUAGCUGGUCUGAGAGGAUGAGCAUCCACACUGGAACGGAGACACGGUCCAGACUCCUACGGGAGGCAGCAGUGGGGAAUAUUGCACAAUGGGGGAAACCCUGAUGCAGCCAUGCCGCGUGUGUGAAGAAGGCCUUCGGGUUGUAAAGCACUUUCAGCGAGGAGGCGGUACUCGCAGAAGAAGCACCGGCUAACUCCGUGCCAGCAGCCGCGGUAAUUC